rnacentral:rRNA from 1 species
GACGUAGGGCGCGAGCGUUUGUCCGGAUUUAUUGGGCGUAAAGAGCUCGUAGGCGGCUUGUUGCGUCGGCUGUGAAAACCCGCAGCUCAACUGUGGGCUUGCAGCUGAUACGGGCAGGCUUGAGUUCGGUAGGGGAGACUGGAAUUCCUGGUGUAGCGGUGAAAUGCGCAGAUAUCAGGAGGAACACCGGUGGCGAAGGCGGGUCUCUGGGCCGGAACUGACGCUAAGGAGCGAAAGCGUGGGGAGCGAACAGG